AGAAGAAUGUCCCAUGAAUCAUCCUGGCCUCUCCCUUUUCUUCUCCAGCCCCCUCCUUUUGUCCCCCAGUGGAGGUGGCUCAAGAUCUCCCAGGGGGGUGGUCUCCAGGAUCCUCUGGACUCAGAACUAGAGACUUUGCUGAGUUUGGAGUGGAAGAAGGUAGGAUCCGGAACCACUGUGGGCUCACUGAGUGACGGCCUGCCCGGAUGAGGAGGAGCCAGCGUCCAGCCACACAGGCUUCAGUGCCAAGGGCCUCAGAACUUCAAAGAAACCUCCAGCCAUGUGGACCUUAUUGCAAGCUCAGACUUCUGCAAAACACUGGCAUUGAAAAUGAAUUUAGAAAGUCUUUGCUGCCACCAUCCUGUCUCACCCUGACCGCUGCAGCAGCCUUCACCCUGGGCACCCCGGUAGCUAUUACCCCUGAAUUGGAUUAAUAGUGUUUCCCCUCAAAUCCAUGUCUAACUCA